rnacentral:rRNA from 1 species
CGGACGGGUGAGUAACACGUGGGUAACCUGCCUGUAAGACUGGGAUAACUCCGGGAAACCGGGGCUAAUACCGGAUGCUUGAUUGAACCGCAUGGUUCAAUUAUAAAAGGUGGCUUUUAGCUACCACUUACAGAUGGACCCGCGGCGCAUUAGCUAGUUGGUGAGGUAACGGCUCACCAAGGCAACGAUGCGUAGCCGACCUGAGAGGGUGAUCGGCCACACUGGGACUGAGACACGGCCCAGACUCCUACGGGAGGCAGCAGUAGGGAAUCUUCCGCAAUGGACGAAAGUCUGACGGAGCAACGCCGCGUGAGUGAUGAAGGUUUUCGGAUCGUAAAACUCUGUUGUUAGGGAAGAACAAGUACCGUUCGAAUAGGGCGGUACCUUGACGGUACCUAACCAGAAAGCCACGGCUAACUACGUGCCAGCAGCCGCGGUAAUACGUAGGUGGCAAGCGUUGUCCGGAAUUAUUGGGCGUAAAGCGCGCGCAGGCGGUUUCUUAAGUCUGAUGUGAAAGCCCCCGGCUCAACCGGGGAGGGUCAUUGGAAACUGGGGAACUUGAGUGCAGAAGAGGAGAGUGGAAUUCCACGU